ACACACCCACACACAACACACACACACAUUAACUUUAACACACGCACUCAGCACAAACAAAACAGCCCAGACGGAAGCAGUCACCCACUCCAGCUUCACAGCGGCGCCCACAGGCCUCAGCCUAAAGCCAAGGAACACCAGAAUACUGCAGGACACUGCAGGACAACGGAUCAUAAGACCCCACAGGAUAGACCACCACAGAGCAGCUUUUAUUUGGGUGGUGGAUAAGUCCCAGCACUGCAGUGACACUGACAUGAACAAUAAACACCCCCAGUCUAUUUAUGGAGGCGGGGUCUGGGGGUCUGCUGAGCCCCCAGCUCAACUACAGACCACCUACCCUGAACAUUGCC